CUGGAGGCUUUAAAGUCAGUUUUGCACUGAAAACAUUAAACUUUUCCACAGAAAUGCGUUUGGUCAAACGUCCUCUGACAAUGUAAAGAACAUUUUAAAGAUGUUUUGAUUUAGCCGAGAAGGUUGUUCGUUGUGGAUCACAGAGCUGAAUUUGCUAAUUGGAUGAAACAGUGACUUUGUCCAAAGUGUGCAGUUGCAGUUCAAGCCGCAGUCCACUUGGUUGAGGACAUGUUACUGAAAGAAACACAGUGGUGUAUCAGUUGCUGUUUGUUGUGAUGCGUUUGUUUGUCUGGAUGUCGUUUUGUGUUCUUGGACAUGAACUGUGCUGGUUGUGGUGCAGAUGUGGACCCGUCAUGAGUAGAUGAAGUGAAUUGUUGUGCUGAGAGAACAGAGUUCAUGACUGAAAGAGGUUAAUGUGAAAGCUGAGAGACUGAGAGUCACUGGCUUGCCUGAGAAAGAAAACUGAUUUAUUAUCAUCACAUUCCCCAGAAA